GGGCAAGCGGCGAGGACGCUGUAAACCCAGACGAUAUUAUUGAUGUUUUGGACAAGUUUUCAAUUUGAUUUAAUGUUUUAUUCGAGGCGUCCCCGAAACCUCCGGUAGGAAUAUUGGCGUAUCGGGAUCCCCGGUACCAGGAAUGGUGGGAGGGACAAUCUGAAAGUGUUUAUCUUUGCGCACAAGAGCAGCGUCCAGAAUACUUCCCCUAUCACCUGCUGUACGGACGGGAGCCGCAACUGUUUACUGAGUUGUCGAACAAGAUCAGAAUGCCUUCGAGGACCACCUUCAAGCAGGGACUGAGAAGGAGGUUUUUGACCAGGUGAGACUGAACAUGAACAAGGCGCAGGAGAAACAGAAUGAGAUCCACCGGAGGAGAAUCAAGGGGACCAGGUGCUUUGAACAUCCGGGCUAAUAACUUGGAAGAAGGACGAAAGGAAGGCGAGACCAGAGAAACCUUGGUGCUCUUUCGCUCCUAGCUGGGGUCACCAUCCAUUAAGUUGAAUAUAAAAAUCUCACAUUAUAACUAUUUGCCUGUGGCCGGUAUCACCAUGCUGUCAGCAGUACCAACACUGGCCCAGGGGUUAUCUCCAAAUAGUCCAUCUCAAGGCCAAGCACUGGGUCACGUUAAGUUACCAGGGGUGGCAGGUAGCCUAGUGGUUAGAGUGAAGAGGUGGCAGGUAGCCUAAUGGUUAGAGCGUUGGGACCAUAACCAAAAAGUUGCUGGAUCGAAUCCCUGAGCUGACAAGGUGAAAAAUAUGUCAUUCUGCCCCUUGAACAAGGCAAUUAACCCACUGUUCCCCAGUAGGCCGUCAUUAAAAACAAAUAGUUUUAAUAAAGGUUCAAAAUGUUUUUUUAAAGUAACUGCCAUUUCCAGGUAAGUACUGUUAAGGUGUAUGACUCCAGUGGUCAUGACAUCACCUUGGAGUUUCUCUCCCAACUCACCUCUCUGAUCUUUUUCAGGGACCAUCCCUUACCUCCCUCAUCAACCCCACUGACAGGUUUCCUUUCUUUUCAGUCCGCCAUUAACAUUAUUGCAUGUCUCAUCAAACAUUUUUAAAUGAAAUCAUCCAGUAACUGUAUUUUUUACCUGAUAAACCUGUAACCUGUGUGUUUGCUUGUUUACGUCUCUGUCUCCUACCCUGGUUCCCUUUAACUCUGCUCCCGUUCUCCAGGACCUAGUGGUUCGGCUCAACAUCCAGACAUGGAUCCACCUGAUGACCUCCAUUUCCUGUUCUCCAGGACCUAGUGGUUCUGCCCAACACCCAGAUGUGGAUCCACCUGAUGUUCUCCAUUUCCUGUUCUCCAGGACAUAGGGUUUCUGCCCAACACCCAGACAUGGAUCCACCUGAUGUUCUCCAUUUCCUGUUCUCCAGGACCUAGGGUUUCUGCCCAACACCCAGACAUGGAUCCACCCGAUGUCCUCCAUUAUCAACCACCGUCCAAAUUUUCAUUACAUUAGCUACUGUUAUUGUCAUGUUGUCAUUAUCUGCUAAGAAAGAGCAAGACAACUAUCAUACUGGGCACAUAAUGUGUGAUCCACAGAUGAACUAAAAACACCUGCACUGUAAAGACUGACUGCCUGUUGAAAACCAAGUGAAAGUUUGAACCUCCCAUCCACACAGCACCCACCUCCUCUCUAUUCCACACACCAGAAUUCAGUAUCUCAGUCUAUGAUGUUAUGUGAGUGUACACAAGAAUCAAAGUAAAUUGACAUGUACCAACAACAACAACAAAAAUAUCAACGUUUAUACAUUUAAAUCUAAAAUAUUUUCUCCAUAUUUUCUCCAUAUUACCGAGUGAAGGAAUAAAUUCUUUGUAAAU